GGGGAUGUGGCUCAGUGGUUGAGUGCCACUGAGUUCAAUCCCUGGUACCCAAAUAAAUACAUAAAUAAAAAUAAAAGUAAAAAGCUGGGAAUGUGUCUCAGUGGUUAAGUGCUCCUGGGUUCAAUUCCCAGUACCUCCC
rnacentral:tRNA from 1 species